rnacentral:rRNA from 1 species
GCAGCAGCCGCGGGAAUACGUAGGUGGCAAGCGUUGUCCGGAAUUAUUGGGCGUAAAGGGCUCGCAGGCGGUUUCUUAAGUCUGAUGUGAAAGCCCCCGGCUCAACCGGGGAGGGUCAUUGGAAACUGGGAAACUUGAGUGCAGAAGAGGAGAGUGGAAUUCCACGUGUAGCGGUGAAAUGCGUAGAGAUGUGGAGGAACACCAGUGGCGAAGGCGACUCUCUGGUCUGUAACUGACGCUGAGGAGCGAAAGCGAGGGGAGCGAACAGGAUUAGAUACCCCCGUAGUCCCUGUCUCUUAUAC